AUGAUGUACAAUGCAGGCAAUAUUUCUGCCUCCUAACGCACUAUUCGCGUAAAAGAAGAUGUGGGUAUUGUAUUUAUAGAACAGAUUUAUUAUUAGUUGGCUAGUGUGUUAGUAGGAUAGCCAUUGGUAGUUAUAAAGUCGUCAGGUAUUAAUAAUAGGAAUUGAUCAAAGCUUAUACAUUUAUUGUGAUAUUUAUAUUGUGAAUUUAAGUAGUUAGUUUUGGUUGUUUAAUAAACGAAUUAAUGUGC